rnacentral:rRNA from 1 species
AUGCUGGAUCAGGCGCAACCGGAGCCGGAGGGUCUAGCUUUCACAGCGAAGGCACAAAUCUUGUCGGCCAGUGAAGCAGCAGCGGAGAGGAAAGGCGGUUCUCCACCCAGUUCAGAGCUGUCAACUGGGAAGAUGAACCCCCGAGCGCCUGGAUGGAACAAGAGGUUGAGGACCGGUGCUACAGCUACAAGUCGCCCACCUUGCCCAAACCACACCAGUGCAUCUGAGAAGGUCGUUCGUAGCUAUGCCGAAAACCCAACUGAGAAUGUCAUAACCCAAAUUAUCGGCACAACGUUCAACUCGGUUGGGGAGGCAUACGACUUUUACAAUCUGUAUUCAUGGGAAAAGGGCUUUGGUAUUCGAUACGGACCAAUGUGUCAGAGGCAAGUGGCGAAUGCAACGACCGCUGUGUCAAGGCAUAAUGCCAUUGAUGCAAGUCCCCCGGGCUUCGGGCAUAGCAUGGCCACAUCUGUUGUGUGCAACAGACAGAAGGAGAUGAAAAUGAAAUGGGGAAUAUAUUGCAAGAGAUCACAGAAAUGCAAGCUACUGUUGUAG